rnacentral:rRNA from 1 species
UACGGAGGGUGCAAGCGUUGUCCGGAUUUAUUGGGUUUAAAGGGUGCGUAGGCGGCUAAUUAAGUCAGCGGUGAAAUUCCACAGCUUAACUGUGAGAACUGCCAUUGAUACUGGUUGGCUUGAGUACAGAUGAGGUAGGCGGAAUUGACAGUGUAGCGGUGAAGUGCUUAGAUAUUGUCAAGAACACCUAUUGCGAAGGCAGCUUACUAAACUGUAACUGACGCUGAGGCACGAAAGCGUGGGGAUCAAACAGG